rnacentral:snRNA from 1 species
CUACUUCACUGGUAGGGAGGCAUCGUGGUCAUGAGGAUGAUUUCCUAGGGUGAUCCUCGUUCCUUGCACUUCUGAUGGCCUGACCACUGCAAAUUCUGUGAUCUAGGGAACUUCACUGUAAAAUCUGCAAUGUGAGAUUCUGUGCACAUAUAUUCUCU